GGGCGAUUAGCUCAGCUGGCAGAGCGCUUGCUUUACACGCAAGUGGCCGGCGGUUCGAACCCGUCAUCGCCCA
rnacentral:tRNA from 1 species